UACGUAGGGAGCAAGCGUUGUCCGGAAUCAUUGGGCGUAAAGCGCGCGUAGGUGGCCUCAUAAGUCCGCUGUGAAAGUCAAAGGCUCAACCUUUGAAAGCCGGUGGAUACUGUGGGGCUAGAGUACGGAAGAGGCGAGUGGAAUUCCUGGUGUAGCGGUGGAAUGCGCAGAUAUCAGGAGGAACACCGGUGGCGAAGGCGGAUCUCUGGGCCAUUACUGACGCUGAGGAGCGAAAGCGUGGGGAGCGAACAGG
rnacentral:rRNA from 1 species